rnacentral:rRNA from 1 species
UGAAUGCGAAAGCUUAGGUUAUCGACCGGGGAUUUAGAAACCGCCGGUAGUCUCUAGCUGUAAACGUAUGGAUGCUUAAGUGUUAGGAAGGUAUAGAUCCCUUCGGUGCGGAAGUUAACCCGAUAAGCAUCCCGCCUGGGAAUACGGCCGCAAGGCUAAAACUCAACCGAAUGGACGGGGGCCCGCACAAGCACCGGAGCGUGUGGUUUAAUUCGAUGCUACACGAAGACCCUUACCUGGGGUUUGAACAUGUAGGUAGUAGUGAAGCGAAAGCGGAACGACCCUUCGGGGAGCCUACACAGGUGCUGCAUGCCUGUCGUCAGUUCGUGCCGUGAGUUGUCGGGUUAAGUCCCGUAACGAGCGCAACCCCUGUCCUUAGUUACAAGUGUCUAAGGAGACUGCCGGCGACAAGCCGGAGGAAGUUGGGGAUGACGUCAAGUCAGCAUGGCCUUUAUGUCCAGGGCUACACACACGCUACAAUGGCCGGUACAAUGGGUUGCCAAGCCGUGAGGCGGAGCUAAUCCCCCAAAGCCGGUCUCAGUUCGGAUUGUGGGCUGCAACUCGCCCACAUGAAGUUGGAGUUGCUAGUAACCGCAGGUCAGCUAUACUGCGGUGAAUACGUUCCCGGGCAUUGUACACACCGCCCGUCACGUCAUGGAAG